AUUGAACGCUGGCGGCAGGCCUAACACAUGCAAGUCGAGCGGAGCGGCGGAAGGGUGAUUAAUGCCUAGGAAUCUGCCUGGUAGUGGGGGAUCCCGUCCGGAAACGGGCGCUAAUACCGCCUACUAUCCGAUGAACCUAGGUAGGAUUAGCUCGUUGGUGGGGUAAAGGCCUACCAAGGCGACGAUCCGUAACUGGUCUGAGGGGAUGAUCAUGCACACUGGAACUGAGACACGGUCCAGACUCCUACGGGAGGCAGAAGUGGGUAAUAUUUGACAAUGGGCGAAAGCCUGAUCCAGCAAUGUCGCGUGUGGGAAGAAGGUCUUCGGAUUGUAAAGCCCUUUUAGUUGGGAGGCGUUACCAACAGAAUAAGCACCGGCUAACUUCGUGCCAGCAGCCGCGGUAAGUC
rnacentral:rRNA from 1 species